AGUGAACGCUGGCGGUAGGCCUAACACAUGCAAGUCGAACGGCAGCACAGGAGAGCUUGCUCUCUGGGUGGCGAGUGGCGGACGGGUGAGGAAUACAUCGGAAUCUACUCUGUCGUGGGGGAUAACGUAGGGAAACUUACGCUAAUACCGCAUACGACCUACGGGUGAAAGCGGGGGAUCUUCGGACCUUGCGCGAUUGAAUGAGCCGAUGUCGGAUUAGCUAGUUGGCGGGGUAAAGGCCCACCAAGGCGACGAUCCGUAGCUGGUCUGAGAGGAUGAUCAGCCACACUGGAACUGAGACACGGUCCAGACUCCUACGGGAGGCAGCAGUGGGGAAUAUUGGACAAUGGGCGCAAGCCUGAUCCAGCCAUACCGCGUGGGUGGAGAAGGCCUUCGGGUUGUAAAGCCCUUUUGUUGGGAAAGAAAUCCAGCUGGCUAAUACCCGGUUGGGAUGACGGUACCCAAAGAAUAAGCACCGGCUAACUUCGUGCCAGCCGCCGCGGUAA
rnacentral:rRNA from 1 species